AUCCCAUGAUGUGGGCACUUUUGCAGCAUAUUUUCGAACCUAUUCCAAGCUUCAUCAAAGUUCUCCGAGUCCCUUUGAUGAAAAAUAGAUAUGUCAUGCUUGAACUU
rnacentral:snoRNA from 1 species